CAGUCGCCGCGGGAAUACGGAGGGAGCUAGCGUUGUUCGGAAUCACUGGGCGUAAAGGGCGCGUAGGCGGCCUGUUAAGUCGGAUGUGAAAGCCCGGGGCUCAACCCCGGAACUGCAUCCGAGACUGGCAGGCUUGAGACCGGGAGAGGAGGGUGGAAUAUCCAGUGUAGAGGUGAAAUUCGUAGAUAUUGGAUGGAACACCGGUGGCGAAAGCGGCUCUCUGGCCCGGAUCUGACGCUGAGGCGCGAAAGCGUGGGGAGCAAACAGGAUUAGAUACCCCCGUAGUCCCUGUCUCUUAUAC
rnacentral:rRNA from 1 species